ACACUGACGUCGCGACGCAUAUCAAUAAGCGGAGGAAAAGAAACUAACAAGGAUUCCCUUAGUAACGGCGAGUGAAGCGGGAAGAGCUCAAAUUUGAAAUCUUCAAGGUUCUACCUUGACGAAUUGUAGUUUAAAGAAGUGUUUUCUGUUAGAUGAGUAGGCAAAAGUUCCUUUGGAAUAGGGACAUCAUAGAGGGUGAGAAUCCCGUAUUUGGUCAUUCCUUCUAGCUUUGUGAUACACUUUCAAAGAGUCGGAUUGUUUGGGAAUGCAGUCCAAAAUGGGUGGUAAAUUUCAUCUAAAGCUAAAUAUUGGCGAGAGACCGAUAGCGAACAAGUACCGUGAGGGAAAGAUGAAAAGAACUUUGAAAAGAGAGUUAAACAGUACGUGAAAUUGUCAAAAGGGAAGCGUUUGACACCAGUGUUGUUUUUCCGAAAAUCAAUUAUAAAUGUUUUGUUUCUGAGGAGUGAUGACUUCAUCGGCUUCCUUCUCUCUUCACGAAACUUUUGUAACGCACUUUUCGGUUAACAAGUCAACAUCAAUUUCUUUUGUUGUAAAAGAGUAUUCGGAAGGUGGCUUUCUUUUCGGAGAAAGUGUUUAUAGCCCUAUACUUCUACAAUCGGAGAGAUUGAGGUCUGCAGCGUAGAUCCUUCGGGGUUAGAUACACUUGUGCUAAGUUAUAGCUUUUCAUAGACAACUUGUUGACUAUGUUUAGUCUUGUAGCUUACUCGCUUGUGCUAUUUUACCUACGCUUAGGAUGUUGAGUCGUAGAGCACGCAG
rnacentral:rRNA from 1 species